rnacentral:rRNA from 1 species
AUUGAACGCUGGCGGCAGGCCUAACACAUGCAAGUCGAACGAGUGGGAGGCGGGUGAGUAAUGUCUGGAAAACUGCCUGAUGGAGGGGGAUAACUACUAGAAACGGUAGCUAAUACCGCAUACCCUCGGAUGUGCCCAGAUGGUAUUAGCUCAUAGGUGGGGUAAAGGCUCACCUAGGAGACGAUCCCUAGCUGGUCUGAGAGGAUGACCAGCCAAACUGGAACGUAGACCCGGUCAGUACUCCUACGGGAGGCAGCAGUGGGGAAUAUUGCACAAUGGGCGCAAGCCUGAUGCAGCCAUGCCGCGUGGAUUAAGAAGGCCUUCGGGUUGUAAAGUACUUUCAGCGGGGAGGCGUUACCCGCAGAAGAAGCACCGGCUAACUCCGUGCCAGCAGCCGCGGUAAUUC